GGCGAGAGACCGAUAGCGAACAAGUACCGUGAGGGAAAGAUGAAAAGAACUUUGAAAAGAGAGUUAAACAGUACGUGAAAUUGUUGAAAGGGAAACGAUUAAAGUCAGUCGUACUGACGGGGAAUCAACCUUUAGAGUGCGGAUUCGUGGGAUUCAAAAAACCUUUGGUCUUGCCAGAUUCGCGCUUUGUUGGUGCACUUUCUCCCGUUGCAGGAUGGCAUCGGCUUUGACCGUUGUAAAA
rnacentral:rRNA from 1 species